rnacentral:rRNA from 1 species
GAUGAACGCUGGCGGCGUGCCUAAUACAUGCAAGUCGAGCGAAUGGAUUGAGAGCUUGCUCUUAUGAAGUUAGCGGCGGACGGGUGAGUAACACGUGGGUAACCUGCCCAUAAGACUGGGAUAACUCCGGGAAACCGGGGCUAAUACCGGACAACAUUUUGAACCGCAUGGUUCGAAAUUGAAAGGCGGCUUCGGCUGUCACUUAUGGAUGGACCCGCGUCGCAUUAGACAGUUGGUGAGGUAACGGCUCACCAAGGCCACGAUGCGUAGCCGACCUGGGCGGAUGAUCGGCCACACUGGGACUGAGACACGGCCCAGACUCCUACGGGAGGCAGCAGUAGGGAAUCUUCCGCAAUGGACGAAAGUCUGACGGAGCAACGCCGCGUGAGUGAUGAAGGCUUUCGGGUCGUAAAACUCUGUUGUUAGGGAAGAACAAGUGCUAGUUGAAUAAGCUGGCACCUUGACGGUACCUAACCAGAAAGCCACGGCUAACUACGUGCCAGCAGCCGCCGUAA